rnacentral:tRNA from 1 species
GUUUCUGUAGUUGAAGGCAACAAUAGCUUUUCGGGCUGUAGGUCUAAGUUAAAUUCUUAGUAGAAAUA